rnacentral:lncRNA from 1 species
AGAGCCAGCCCAACCUCGACGGAGGGUGGGAGGACUAGAGAUUGCGUUCAAUUCGGUGGCAAAUGAGUCAACCAAUUGUGCCUAUGUAAUGAAAACUCUGGACGCCAAAAUUUGGUGGAGCUUCCUGGUUGGUGAACACAUCCAUGUGCCAGGAGGGUGACACAACCUGAUUCACAGAGAGAAGACACAGAAGCUCUGCAUGGAAGACCCGCCCAGACCCCGCCCUACGUGUGUCUUCAUUAGUCUGGUCCUCCUGAUUUGUAUCCUUUGUAACAAGCCUGUAAUCAACUUUCUCAGUUGUGUGUGUGAGUACGCCUGGCUUUUCAUCAAAGAGCUUUGCCGUCUUGAUGCUUCCUUUUCUGUGAACACAGCAAUAAAUAGAUUCUGCAGAACAAAUGACCAGGAGAAAGGACUUUGUGCUCCUUCACCUCAGAAACCUGAACUCAGAAUUUCCUUGUAGACACUUUUCAGGCCUUUGUUUGCUGGAGACUGGAGUUCCCUGAGAGGAUUAAGGGUGUGGUGGGGAGUGUCUAAAGGAGCCCAGUGCCUUGAGGGCAGCCAAGAAGACAGAGGCCCUGGACUGGAUACCGGCUGAGGAAGCGUUUGCACAUCCUGGCCCCAGAAGAUUUUGCGUAGCCUCACCAAGAGAAGAAGUUGGAAAGAAAAAAAAAGAAGUUGGCAAGGCAUCCAGAGGAGACCCCGCCAGCACCUGGGUUCUCUGCCAGGGGAGAGAGGUAAGCACACUGGACUGAAGGAGGCAAAAGCUGCUCAAGGGAGUGGGGGGUGGGGGGAGAUUCCCAGAUGCUGUGGAAGGGAUGUGGUUUGGGGGUCCUUGGAGUAGUGAGGAGAAGCCCUGCUCCCACAUAGAACCCCACACACACAACAGUGGGGAUGGAGGGAGGUCAGGGAUUCCAAAGGAAACUAGCUAAGAACCUUGGCCUUACUAACCACAAAGACUCCCAUUCAUAUCAGCUGUGUCUGAAGGUCAGAGGCCCAGACUCUGAAUGUUCUAGGCUGGGUCAGACCCCUGGGAUGGUCACUGGACCCCAUAGGAGAAGAGAUAGGGGAGUCCCUAAUAAAACUUCAAUUACAUUUCCUGCCUGCUUGGUCAGUGGAUACUAAAUGCAGAUGACUUAGAAAAAGAAAGAAUUGUGAGAUGCUGUGGAGUCAACUCAAUGUCAUCAUUAGCGUCUUCCUCUUCAGAGUCCUGUAUCCCAGCGACGGAGCUCAAGGUUCAGACUAAAGGCUUCCUACCCCUGGCAAGGAGGUCUUUAUAGUGGAGGUGAACGUUUACACACUACACUCUGAGAAUUUUUUUUUUAAAGUAGCCUCUAUUUUGUAUGUCUUCUCAUCCUGUUAGAGUAAGUAGCUAGUCAGGGAUGAGCAGGGCAGGAGAGGGCGCCCCAGACACACACCCACAGGAAUGUCAGGCAAACAUCAGGUGAGGGUCAGGCAGUUGUUAACGGGCUCUCUAAAAUAAUUGGUCACAGCUGGCACCAGAGACAGGCAGUCUCCCAAUAGAAACAUCUGAAACUGGUGAUCAGCAGUUUCCCAAUAAGAUCCCAGUAAGUGACCAAAGAGGCAAGAAUUGAGGUUGCUGCAGACCCCUAUGGAUUUGCUGCCACUAACGAUCCCUACUACUGCUGCUGGGGAGGAGGUUUUAAUAGUAUCUAUUAAUUAAAGAUAUCCCAGUCUCUUUUCUAUCCUCCCUCCCCAAAUACUGCUCGGUCCACCUCAUGAGAUUGUCCUGGGCCUUUUGAGACCCAGGCAAUGGGAAGAGAAGGCCAUGGAAGUGGACUGAGAAUGCUGGGUGUCUAGAUUAACUAUGCUGCCCUCCGGAAGGCACCUCCAGUAGGAUGCACAGCUGUGGCUAUCAGCAAAUUCCCCUUCCUCCUCUUGCAGGUGCCCUAGAGAACAUGGAUAGGGCUGCAGGUGGUUAAUGGUUCAAAGACUACUCAGUGAAGACGCUGCCUGGGGGAACAGAGUGUGGCCACAUCUAAGGAAAGAAGGUACAGGUGAACAGGAGAGGAGGUGAAGGAGAAGCGAGCAGGUGGGGGUUGCGGAGGGGCUGAGGAAGGUCAGGCAGAGCCAGGAGACCAAUCCAGCUCCUUGGAAGGUAGCUCAGUUGACUCCUUACCAUGUGGCAUUUGUAAAAGGUGGACAGUAGAGGCCUGGGGCCAGAGAGAGGCUGGACCAGAUUCCCACUGUAAAAAUCUCCUUGCCAAGGUCCAGGUAGGGUGUCCUUAAGUCUGAAUCUUGAUCCCCAUCGCUGGGAUACAGGACUCUGAAAGAGGAAGAUGCUAAAUGACUGCAUUUGGGGAGGGAAAGACACGCUCACUUCUCCCCAGCCCCAAGUUGCCCUGUGUUGCUGCCACACUACGUAACUACAGUCAUAAACUAUAUUUGAAGCAUGAUGGAACCUGAACCAUGGCAGUAGCUUAAGUUGACUACAUUAACAGGGAAAGCUGAGUCAUGAUUCUAUACUGAAUAUAAAAAUUAAGUCAGAUGUGCUCACUCACAUGCACACAAAUAUUCUGGAAAGCUGAGAUCCACAGCCCCAAGAUGGGGAAAGGGCUCCCCCUGGUGGGAUUGCCAGAGGUUCCCCCAUGGAACUGCACGCCCCAGACCAAGCCAAAGCCCCAAGCAAAACAAUCUGCUAUGUCAUGCAGGAUUGGAAGACUUUCGUUUGCUUCAGGGCCAAUUUAUGACUCCCGGUAUUCUCUGUCCUGAAAUGACACCCAGUUCCAGGAAGAAUUGGAUUCUAGGACCAACUUGUACAGGCGCCCCAGGAGACAGUCUGGGCAUGCAGGUCAGCCGAUGUGUGCCGGGGAAGACUGUCCACAUUUGCUCCUCAGUCCCACUGGGCCUGAUCACAGGCCACCCCCCAUAGUAAAGGGGAGCCAGGGCCCCUGGGCAAGGUUAGAUGCUGCCUCUCAUGCCCCUGAAUUAGCCAAGAGGCGCUCCAGCAGGAAGCCUUGUUUGGCUUAUAUUGCAAAGGAGGCACCACUUACUAUGCAGUCCCCUGCCCGGAGCACCUUGCCUGUGCUACUGAGAAAUGUCCUGCUGCAGCAGGAGAGGCGGAUCGAGCUACAGCCAAGAGUGUGCCCUGCCUCCAUCUGUUGACCCAGGUCAGAAUGAUGUGGAACACUGGACAGUUAACUCACUGGGUUCAAAAAACACAGCAACACAAUGCUCUGGGUGCCUCCUGGCUGUGAUGUGCACUAUUGUUUUCUGGGGAGAUCCCAUCACAUAUGAAACUUCAGAUGUUCAUCCAGUGAUCAUGUCAAGCUUCCAUUGUUUGCUCUCAUAUGCUCCCUGGAGCUGGAUUCCACCCUGGCUCAAGACCUCUGAUGAAGUGCUGGCAUGGAGCAGAAACUCCCUUAGGCAGAAACCCCCUUUCCCCCUUGCCACCCACCCCCCACCAGCACCCCAUCCUAGGGAUGCCACCGCAGGUCUCCUCUCAUAGCAGCACUACUUCCUCAAUUCUCAACUUCAGGUUACUGCUACAGAGUCUCGCACCUGAUCCAGCCUUGAGAAAGUGAUUAGAGUGUGACCGGAAAAAAUUGUUAGUGAUCCCCAAAUAUGUAGUAUAAAGCUACAGUAAAUGCUUCUAAAAAAUAGACACAAGUGAAACAGGCUAGCCCAGGGGCUUUCAAUACAGAGCAAUGAUAGAUAUAAUAUUAGAGAAAAUUAAAAAGCAAUGCUCCACAAAGGGAGAAUAUCCCCAAAGAUAUUCCCAGAAACUGAAUAUAAAUGCAAAAGAUGAACAGGGCUACAGCUGUGGCCUGUUGGGUUCUGACUCAGGGUACAGUUAAAGGCAGCUGGGAAGUCAAGUCCUGUUGAGUACUGAGUGGUGAGAUAGAAUUAAAUUGCCCACUGAGGUGGGGGACCAGUGUCAUGGUCACUGUGAAAAUAUUAGGGACUCAGAUUCCCCUCUUGCCCACACUUCCACCCUCUUCAAGAAGACUGAAAUAGCUUGCUACUAACUUCGCCUGGGACUGUGGCCUAGGGAGGCCCGUGGUUACCAAACGGCACCACACCUGGGCUUAACUGAGCCACCCACAGCCAUGGGGCUGGAUGUGAGUCAUUCCCAGGGUUAUCCCAGGGCAGGAGCCCCGACUGCCAUAUAAGACCUAGUCCUGAACACUGGCCCCUGGGAAGGGCAACUGCACAGCCACUAGGCAGGGAGGAGUGAGGAACAAGAGAAGGGAGACAGAGAAAGCCUGGAAAUGAACCUGGAAGCUGAAAUUCCAAAACACAUAAAAACUAACACUGAGAAAGGCAGCCAGCAACAUCAACACUUGAUGCAUGACAGGUGAAGUGAAAAGAAUAUAAUCAUUGGAAAGAGUCUUCAGUAUCCUCAAGGAGGCAGUUAAACAUAUAAUGUUCACUUAAAAAUCAAGCCACUAUGAGAUUACAACCAGGCAGAAACGUGCUGUCAUAUAACAAUGGAACAGAAAAAUAUUAUGCAAUAAAUGGUUCAGGAGAAAUAAUUAUUAAUAUUUGGGAAAAUACAUAUAGUAGAUGUAAAUCCUCACUUCAUCU